UACAGAGGUCGCAAGCGUUGCUCGGAUUCAUUGGGCGUAAAGGGUGCGUAGGCGGCGCCGUAAGUCGGGUGUGAAAUUUCGGAGCUUAACUCCGGAACUGCAUUCGAUACUGCGGUGCUUGAGGACUGGAGAGGGGACUGGAAUUCAUGGUGUAGCGGUGAAAUGCGUAGAGAUCAUGAGGAAGACCAGUGGCGAAGGCGGGUCUCUGGACAGUUCCUGACGCUGAGACACGAAGGCCAGGGGAGCAAACGGG
rnacentral:rRNA from 1 species